rnacentral:rRNA from 1 species
GACGAACGCUGGCGGCGUGCUUAACACAUGCAAGUCGAACGGAAAGGCCCUGCUUUUGUGGGGUGCUCGAGUGGCGAACGGGUGAGUAACACGUGAGUAACCUGCCCUUGACUUUGGGGUAACUUCAGGAAACUGGGGCUAAUCCCGGAUAGGAGCUCCUGCUGCAUGGUGGGCGUUGGAACGUUUCGGCGGGUGGGGAUGGACUCGCGGGUUAUCAGCUUGUUGGUGGGGUAGUGGCUGACCAAGGCUUUGACGGGUCGGCGGCAUGUGAGGGUGACCGGCGACAUGGGGACUGAGAGACGGACCAGACUGCUACGGUAGGCAGCAGUGGGGAAUAUUGCACAAUGAGCGGAAGCCUGAUGCAGCAACGCCGCGUGUGGGAUGACGGCCUUCGGGUUGUAAACCGCUGUCGCCUGUGACGAAGCGGGAGUGACGGUAAUGGGUAAAGAAGCACCGGCUAACUACGUG